rnacentral:rRNA from 1 species
UACAGAGGGUGCAAGCGUUAAUCGGAAUUACUGGGCGUAAAGCGCGCGCAGGCGGCUGUCCAAGUCAGUGGUGAAAGCCCGGAGCUCAACUCCGGAACUGCCAUUGAAACUGUUUAGCUUGAGUAUGAGAGAGGUGAGUGGAAUUCCCAGUGUAGAGGUGAAAUUCGUAGAUAUUGGGAAGAACACCGGUGGCGAAGGCGGCUCACUGGCUCAUUACUGACGCUCAGGCGCGACAGCGUGGGGAUCAAACAGG